UUUAUGACCGAUUUUAAAAGUGCUACUUUUAAAAUCAGUUAUUUUAGAAUCGAUUUUAAAAGUACUACUUUUAAAAUCGGUUAUUUA
rnacentral:miRNA from 1 species